UCUUACUGUCUAACUAAAACAAAGCAUCGCGAGGGCCGCUGGUCGCUGCUGACGCAAUGUGAUUUCGGCCCAGUGCUCUGAAUGUCAACGUAAAGACAUUCAAAAAAGCGCGGGUAAACGGCGAGAGUUACCAUGACUCUCUUGUGGCAUUCUCAUUUCAAAGGCAUUCGGCAUUGUUUCUACCAAGGCCAUAAUACGUGGAGCCGGUCGGAAAGGCCUUUCAUCUUCUUUCCUCGAAUAUCUUGAACAUUUUUACGCAACUUCGACUACAGUCUUGAACUUCGAUGGGACCACACUACUUGCAAGACCAGCCAGAGGAGUGCGGCAGGGGGACCCUCUGUCGCCCCUGCUGUUAAAUCUGGGUAUUGAUGAAUGGCUGGCCUCUCUCCACCCCAGAAUGGGAUUUUCAAGUGGAGACUUCUCCUGGAGCGCAAUGGCUUUUGCAGACGACUUGGUCAUUGCGGCCUCAACGCCGGAGGGUCUCAGGGAACUGCCCUCAGGACUGGAAGUUUUUCUGGUUGCGACAGGACUAUUCCUCAAUCCUGCUAAGUGCAUUUCCCUGGCCUUGCAGCCAGAUGCCAAACGAAAGAAGACUAAGAUCUUGACUCACACUAAGUUUUCAGUCGGACGUCAAAUCAUGCCAAGUAUCGAUACCACGACUGUAUGGAGAUUAUCUGGGCAUUACCUUCAACGCUCUGGGGAUUCAAGCAACCCCUGUCCUUGAACAGGUGAAGGAGUACUUGAACAAAGUUUUGAAGACCCCCUUAAAGCCGCAACAGCGCAUCUUUGUUCUGCGCAGCUACUGAGUGCACAGACUAUUUAUCGUCUCGUCUUCGAGCCGAUCUCAGGCAAACUGCUGAAUAGGAUCGACCGCGCCAUCAGACUACACGUGCGCAACUGGCUCCGGCUUCCGCACGACGUCCCGAUCGCUCUCUUUCACGCCCCAAACAAAGACGGAGGUCUUCGCAUUCCCUUUCUGCGUGCCGCCAUUCCAUGGGUGCGUCUCAGCCGCUUCGAGAAACUCGAAAAGUCCAUUCACCAGACGUGCGUCGAAGCUGCCAAGAAACCCUUCGUGGUUAACUUCUUAGAACAAACAAAGAAACUUUUGAUGUACAAGGACAACAGACUGGACUCUAGCAAAGCCUGCGUCAGGUUAUGGAAAAGUGAGCUCCAUGGCAGUGUCGACGGUAAAGCUCUCCAUGUAGCUAGUCUUACCCCAGGAGCUCACUCGUGGCUGAUUGACGUGACUCGUUUCCUUACCGGCCGUGAAUCUAUCAACAUUUGAAAGAUGAACAUUAACACGAUGCCUAGUUUGGCAAGAACGAAGUUAGGACAAGAUGUAGCAAGGAACUGCCGAGCCGGUUGCCCCUCUCCGGAAAAUUUAGGACACAUACUGCAGAUGUGCCCACGCACCCAUCAUACCUGAACCACGCGAAAUAAUGCAAUAGCAGCCUACGUGGCAAAAAGACUUCGUGAGCAAGAGUUUACGGUGCUGGAGGAGCCGCACUAUUGUGUGCCUGGAGGAGCAUUAGUGCCCGACCUGGUGGCCAAAAGGGGCAACCAGACCGUGGUUCUAUAUGCACAAGUAGUGUCGACAUUGCACCCUCUGUCCAAGCUCCACGCAACAAAGACUGCUAAGUACAUGAACAAAGAAUUCCUGAACCAACUUGGAAAUGAACGCCCUUGGUCUCAACAAUUACUCUGAACUAUGGAGGUGUCUGGGCGUCUGAGAGCGUGAAGACUCUACGCGACCUGGGCCUUGGACGUCGCGACUUCAAGUUACUAACAAUCCGAUGCCUUCAGGGGGGCUAUCACGGCUUCUGUGCCCACCAACGUAUGACGACCACCUUCGGUGGCUGAUGGGCAAGUUGCCCCGGCUGCUGCCUAUGUAACCCGUGAAACACUUCCCGCUCUCAAGCAAAGUAGGAAUCUCCCUCUCCGAAGAAAGGAGGGUGGAAAAAAAUAGCCAAAUGCCUCGUCAUCUAAUUAGUGACGCGCAAGAAUGGAUUAACGAGA
rnacentral:rRNA from 1 species